ACUUGCUCUUUUUUCCUCCCAUUUUAGCAGCCAAGGAUGGGAAUUACACAGCGAAAUGCAGGCUAAUCAGCUAAAUCUAGAUUAAAUAUGCUAGUCCUUGGGGACCUUGAGCUGAAUUAAUGGAAACCGAGGUUUUUAAUGUUCCAGACUAAUUUUGGAAGCUCACUUCCAGCAGAGGCAAACUUGAGGCUGUCCAAAGGGAGCAGAUGGCAAGGCUUUCUCCAGGUGCACCAACCUUUGAAACAGCCCUCGGCAAAACCAUGAGGAAGGGAGGAGGCUCCAUGAUCUUACCUUCCCAAUUAUGAAGUAAGCAACGAUGACCUCUUAAACUCGUGAAUCUAACAGUGGUUGGGCAUAGAUAAUUGCUGUGAAAUACUUGAUGACUGAUUAGCUUUGAUAAAGAAUUCUGAGAUAAUUUUUAUGCUGUUGUUACUAAUCCCACCCUCAGCAUUCUUUCAAAAAUGAGAUUAUUUGUCUUUUUCUUCAUGGCCUUGGUGGAAAUAUAAAUUUCUUUUUAACCCU
ensembl:lncRNA DLGAP1-AS5 DLGAP1 antisense RNA 5